UAGGGAAUCUUGGGCAAUGGGCGCAAGCCUGACCCAGCCAUGCCGCGUGUGUGAAGAAGGCCCUAGGGUUGUAAAGCACUUUCAGAAGCGAAGAAAUGUUCGAGGUUAAUACCCUCGAGCUUUGACGUUAACUUCAGAAGAAGCACCGGCUAACUCCGUGCCAGCAGCCGCGGUAAUACGGAGGGUGCGAACGUUAAUCGGAAUUACUGGGCGUAAAGCGCGCGUAGGCGGUUUGUUAAGUGGGAUGUGAAAGCCCCGGGCUUAACCUGGGAACUGCAUUCCAAACUGGCAAACUUGAGUAUGGUAGAGGGAGGUAGAAUUUCCUGUGUAGCGGUGAAAUGCGUAGAUAUAGGAAGGAAUACCGGUGGCGAAGGCGGCCUCCUGGACCAAUACUGACGCUGAGGUGCGAAAGCGUGGGGAGCAAACAGGAUUAGAUACCCCCGUAGUCC
rnacentral:rRNA from 1 species